rnacentral:rRNA from 1 species
GAUCCUGGCUCAGAGCGAACGCUGGCGGCAGGCUUAACACAUGCAAGUCGAGCGGGCGUAGCAAUACGUCAGCGGCAGACGGGUGAGUAACGCGUGGGAACGUACCUUUUGGUUCGGAACAACACAGGGAAACUUGUGCUAAUACCGGAUAAGCCCUUACGGGGAAAGAUUUAUCGCCGAAAGAUCGGCCCGCGUCUGAUUAGCUAGUUGGUGAGGUAACGGCUCACCAAGGCGACGAUCAGUAGCUGGU